rfam:Paenibacillus sp. Soil787 contig_4, whole genome shotgun sequence.
GCCACAUACAUAUAAAUCGUUCGUAUAUCCUUGAGGAUUGGCUUAAGGGUCUCUAGAGGGAGCCAUAACUUCCUAGCUACGACGGGUACUUGCUUUCGC